rnacentral:rRNA from 1 species
AGCGAACGCUGGCGGCAGGCCUAACACAUGCAAGUCGAACGAAGUCUUCGGACUUAGUGGCGGACGGGUGAGUAACACGUGGGAACGUACCUUUUGGUUCGGAACAACUCAGGGAAACUUGAGCUAAUACCGGAUGAGCCCUUAGGGGGAAAGAUUUAUCGCCGAAAGAGCGGCCCGCGUUAGAUUAGCUAGUUGGUGAGGUAAAGGCUCACCAAGGCUACGAUCUAUAGCUGGUCUGAGAGGAUGAUCAGCCACACUGGAACUGAGACACGGUCCAGACUCCUACGGGAGGCAGCAGUGGGGAAUAUUGCGCAAUGGGCGAAAGCCUGACGCAGCCAUGCCGCGUGAAUGAUGAAGGUCUUAGGAUUGUAAAAUUCUUUUACCAGGGACGAUAAUGACGGUACCUGGAGAAAAAGCCCCGGCUAACUUCGUGCCAGCCGCCGCCGUAACAC